rnacentral:lncRNA from 1 species
UUUGAUUUUCUCGGCGACAAUAUGAAUCUCACCCUGCGUGCACCCGCUACAUUUUUCACCCAUUCAUUUUCUAGCACUUUCUCACCUUCCAAACACAUCCUCCGUUGCUCCAAACCCUCACCCUCCCACCUCACCCCCAAAAUCACCAUGUCCUCCACCGCCUCCUCCGCCACCCAAACAGUCAUCGAGCACAUCGUCCUCUUCAAAGUCAAGGACGACACCGACCCAGCCAAGGUCAGCGCGAUGGUCAACAACCUCAACGGCCUCACCUCUCUCAACCUCACACUCCACCUCACCGCCUCCCCGAUCCUCCGCACCCGAUCCUCGCCCUUCGCCUUCACCCACCUCCUCCACAGCCGCUACAGCUCCAAAGACGACCUCAGCGCCUAUACUGUGCACCCGGGGCACAUGAGCGUGGUGAAAGAAUCGGUCCUCCCCGUCUGCGACGACAUCAUGGCCGUCGACUGGGUCGCCGACGACCUCCAGGGCCCUGCUGUCCCGCCGCCGGGAUCUGCAAUCCGCCUGACGUUUUUGAAAUUGAAGGAGGGUUUGGGGGAGGAGUCGAAAUCAGAGAUUUUGGGGGUGAUUAAAGGGAUUAAGGAGAGUUUUGGGGAGAUUAAUCAGA